CGGCGGACGGGUGGAGUAAGCGUGGGUAACCUGCCUCAUACAGGGGGAUAACAGUUGGAAACGGCUGCUAAUACCGCAUAAGCGCACAGUACCGCAUGGUACGGUGUGAAAAACUCCGGUGGUAUGAGAUGGACCCGCGUCUGGUUAGGUAGUUGGUGGGGUAACGGCCUACCAAGCCGACGAUCAGUAGCCGACCUGAGAGGGUGACCGGCCACAUUGGGACUGAGACACGGCCCAA
rnacentral:rRNA from 1 species